UGCACCACUCUGAAGUCAUUGUGGAGGUGAUUCCCAACGAUCUGAUG
rnacentral:snoRNA from 1 species